rnacentral:sRNA from 1 species
CUCUGCCAUGGAGUCCUACGAUGUGAUCGCCAACCAGCCUGUCGUGAUCGACAACUGUGGGCCGACCCAAGCACGUUCGUGUCAUGGCAGGAGCCCUUGAAGGCGACAUCUUCAUUGGCCCCAAAGCUGAGGAGCACCGAGGGCUGCUUUCAAUCCGCUAUCCCAUGGAGCAUGGCAUCGUCAAGGAUUGGAACGACAUGGAACGCAUUUGGCAAUAUGUCUAUUCUAAGGACCAGCUGCAGACUUUCUCAGAGGAGCAUCCUGUGCUCCUGACUGAGGCGCCUUUAAACCCACGAAAAAACCGAGAACGAGCUGCCGAAGUUUUCUUCGAGACCUUCAAUGUGCCCGCUCUUUUCAUCUCCAUGCAAGCUGUACUCAGCCUUUAUGCUACAGGCAGGACCACAGGGGUGGUGCUGGAUUCUGGGGAUGGAGUCACCCAUGCUGUGCCCAUCUAUGAGGGCUUUGCCAUGCCCCACUCCAUCAUGCGCAUCGACAUCGCGGGCCGGGACGUCUCUCGCUUCCUGCGCCUCUACCUGCGUAAGGAGGGCUACGACUUCCACUCAUCCUCUGAGUUUGAGAUUGUCAAGGCCAUAAAAGAAAGAGCCUGUUACCUAUCCAUAAACCCCCAAAAGGAUGAGACGCUAGAGACAGAGAAAGCUCAGUACUACCUGCCUGAUGGCAGCACCAUU